AAGUCGUAACAAGGUUUCCGUAGGUGAACCUGCGGAAGGAUCAUUAUUGAAUGAACUUGGCGUGGUUGUUGCUGGUCCUCUUGGGGGCAUGUGCACACCCGUCAUCUUUAUCUUUCCACCUGUGCACAUUUUGUAGGUCUAAAAUUUUUCCGAGGCAACUCGUUUAGAGGGAUUGCUGUGCAUCACUGUCGGCUUCCCUUGCAUGUCCAGGCCUAUGUUUUCAUAUACCCCAAAAAAUGUAACAGAAUGUAUCAUUGGGCCUUGUGCCUAUAAACUAUAUACAA
rnacentral:misc_RNA from 1 species